CUGCGCCGGCCCAGCCCGCAGGAGUGGGACCGGGAGGCCCCGGGGCAUCUUGCCUGCCGGAGACCCCUGGCCCCGCCCGAGGUGCCCGGCAGUCGCCAGAAAGGAAACCGCCGAGGCCGCCCAAACGCCGACCGUGGGAUCCCAGCCCCACCCAGCGUGACCCGUUAGUGCCGCAGAGGCCGUCCCCCUCCCACCGCGUCCCCGCCCCAGGCCUGGAACCUCCUUGACCAUCUUAGUAAGAACCAGAGCCUUCCAGCCUGACUGUUUCCUCGGCUAGGCUCCUGGUGGCCAGCGACAGAUGUGAGUGCUUAAGCAAGCAGUGGCAUUUGGAAGGUCAAGGCGAGGCCCCAUAAUUGUGGGGAGGCUGUACGACCAGACUUGGAAAGUGAGCAGAGGGACUCCGGAGGCCCGGCCUCAGGAGCACCCGGCCAGAACAAGACCACUCCAGCAGACAGCCCCGUGCCCGGCUUGAAUCUAACCAUCCCUCCUCUCUGCAUCACGUGCUGAAGAAGGAAGAGCCCCCGCAGGAGCCAGAACCCUGUCCUACUGGGUGCAGACCUAGGGGAAGAGCUCUCAGAGUGGAAAGCGAGGAGAAGUCAGCUGCCCUUUGGAGAGACCCGCAUGGCUGGGAAUUGGUGCCCGAAACCUAUGGCUCCUCCAGACCCAGUCACGCUAGAAUGACUGCAGCCCAGGACUCGUGAAUCCUAGAUUCCUGACCCUCAGAAACUGAAACAGAGGAACAAUGUCCAUACUUCUAAGCUUCUAAGUUUUGGGUGUAAUUACUUACACAGCCAUAGAUAUCUAGUAGGCUGUGACCUUGAGGAAUCACUGUAUUAGCCCUGGACUGCUUAUCUCAAGACUUAUUUUAAAUGAGAGAGAAAAAUAAUUUCUAUCAUGUUUAAGCCAUGAAAAGUUGAAAAUUUUUGUUCUGUUUUGUUUUCUAUUUCUUACAACAGACCCUAAUAUUAAAUUACUGGAUAAAAAAGACUAGAAAUAACAGUGGUGUGGGAAAUUAGGUUCCUGUUCUCUGUCUGUCAUCUAGCUUUGGCUUCCACUUUCCACAUGUCACCUCAUAGUCCAAGAUAGCUGCUGGAGCUUCAGAAAUCAUAUCCCAAGUUCCAGGCAGUAGGAAGAAGGAAGGACGGAAGAAUAAAAGGUCUUUCUUUCCCACCUGACAACUCUUUUUAAGGAGUCUUCUUGGACGCCUCUUCCACACUUCCACUUCCGAGGCCAAACUGGGACACAGGGAAGUGGGGACAUGUACUUCUUCAGCUGGGCAUAUUGCCCCCUUGAAUAAAAUUAGGGUUCUACUAAUGCAAUAUGUGGAUCUUAUGUUUGGGGAGUCUGUUGGAGCAAGUCAGCUCUUUAAAAAAUUGUGAGACAGUUGGGGAAAUUUGAACAGUGAAUGGAUAUAUGAUGAUAUUAAGAAAUUAUUGUUUUUAUAGGUGAGAAAAAUAUUGUGUUUUAUAUUGUACUGUAUAUAGAUAUAUAUGGUCAAAGACUACCUUUUUGAAAUAUGUACUGAAUUUAUGGAUGAAAUAAUAUGAUAUUUGGCUGUGUUUCAAAAUAACUCAAUGGUGGGAGGGGUAUAAUAGAUGAAGCAGGAUUAGCUCUGUGUUAAUUGCUGAAACUGAGUGAUGAUGGGUACAUAGGAGUUCGUUAUACCAUUCUCUCUACCAUUCUCUAUAGGUUAUACAUUUUUCAUGACAGAAAAUUUUUUAAAGUUCUGCUAUUAAAUAAGAGAAUUGAGAUUUGUAUUUUAAAAAUUGGAGUUCUAAAACAUUGGAGUAAGGAAUAGGGGAGGUUAGCUCUGGGAACACACAGAGCAGUCUCUGCCAGUCCUAGCAGCCUUGCUCAAUUCCUCACUGGCAGAGAAGGCCUGAAUGGCCUAUGAUCUGAUGUCCCUGUGGGCCGUGAUACCAGCUAGACACCUUGAUUGCCGAGUACUUACUGGAUCCUGCUGUGUUCCCAGAUUUGCAUUAUGGGUCAGGGAGGAAAAGGGUAUAACUAAAGGUCUAUGAUACUCAGGCCCUGAUCCCAAGCAACUUAUAAUUUAUUUCAGCAUACAGUGCCAACACAAGACACCUAUGCUCCAUGUAGUCACUCCAAGAUAGGAGAAAAAUAGGUGGGAAAUUGUUCCAUGUGUGUUCCUUCAGCAAGAAGGAUGAGGACAAGGUGUGCAGGGGGGCUGCAUGGAGAUGGAGGUGGGGAUGAACUGGUCCUUGAUUUGACCUGAUCAGGAGAGAAAGCCCAUCUGGUGAGAGGAGCAUGAGAUCAGGAGACCUUACUCAACCUCGCCACCAACUGCAUGUCUAAGGGGGCUGAGGGCAGCUACAGGCUGUGCCUGUUUCUGACCCUGGCAAAGGAGUUAGUUCUUAAGGAUUAAAAGUCAAGCCACAAAAUCUCCCCGUUAAUUAUGAUAAUAGUAACAAUAGCAACAACAGCGAAUGUUUUAAGAUUCCAGGCAUCAAGCUCAGGGUUUAAUUUACAUCAAGGCUGUGAGGCUGGUGUGAAGACACCACAGUGGACACCUGUUACUCUUGCCUGCCCAGCAUCUGUUCCUUCUUCUUCUGGUAUCAGUGCCGCUAUGCUGUUUCAAAAUUACCCCUCCUCACUCACUCUCGUCCUUGGGGUUUUUGGAGGCUGACACCCCCUUCCACUCCCUCCAGUGGUGGCCCCCUUUGACCCUGCCAGCAAGUCAGAUGCCCUACCCUGAGUUCAGUGAAGAGCCAGUGGCUGGUACUUCUGCUGACACCACUGGGGAGGAGGUCGUUUUCCCUCUGGGGUUGCUAAGCUGGCAGGAGGUGAGCCUGAGGCAGGGCUGGGAGAACCUCCUCCCUGAACUUUCCCUCUAGAUGAGAAUGUCAAAGCCCUUUUUUAUUAAAGCCUGUUAAUCUGUCUCUCUGUCAUUUGCAAUCAAGAAUCUUGACUAAUAUGCACCUCCAGUAUUCAGGUGGGGAACUAGAAGGUGUAGUUAUACGCUCAAGGUUAGAAUUUAUAAUAGCCAUACCCUGGGCCUUAGAAGACAGACUUCCAAAAGUACAGAUGAAAGAAUAGAUUUAUCCCAGAGCCUUAAGUAGAAGAUGAUGGCCUCCAGUUAAGAUGACCAAUUGACCAUACAGGUAACCCCAGUCCUUACCAAAUCCCCCAGUGCUUGGUGGCUCCAGGUUCCUUUGAUCUUGAGGGUGAAGGAAGGGCUGCAAUAGGAAAAGAGAGGUUCAAAGUUUAUGUGUUGGUCACCUAGAUCUCCUGCCAAUUCUGUGCAGCCAGAGCACUGAUCCUCUUCCAACUAAGCAACCAGAAGAUUUUGCUACAGAAGAGCAGACCAGAGGUAUACAAGCAAAAACCAAGGGGAAGUUGCCAUAUCAAAAAACAGGGUUUAAAGUGAAAGUUAACAUCCUGAACAGUGUGACCUCAACCUCCUUCCCCCAUCCAGCCCCCAAAAGCCUGGCAGCCAAGCUUAUUCCAUCCAGGCAGGAAGUGGAAGGAUUUCUGUAUAAGCACUCUUACCAACUCAAGAGGAAGGAGUUUCCCAAGGAAAUGGUCCAGUUAGACCACAGCUGGUGAAGGCCACAGAUGUCAAGCUCAUCUAUGCACUCAGAGCUUCUAAUCAGCUUUUUAAUGUCCCUCUUUGAAAUACAAAUUGAACAAGGUCCAACCAUAUGCUACCUACAGGAGACACAUUUUAGAUUCAAAGAUACAAAUAGGUUGAAAACAAACAACAAAAAAAAUGAAUCAUGCAAGCAGCAACCAUAAGAAAGCUAGAGUGACUGUAUUAAUAUGAGAUAAAGUAGACUUGGAAACAAAAUUUAUUACUAGAGGUAAUUGCUACUCAUUAUAAUGUUAAAAGUGUCAAUCCAUCAGGAAGAUACAACAUGAAGAAAAAAAUGGACAGAAUUGAAAGAAGAAAUGGACAAAUUAACUGUAAAGUUGGUGACUUCAGUACCUCAUUUUCAAUAAUGGAUAGAUCAAGUAGGCAGAAGAUCAACCAGGAAAUGGAACACUUGAGCAACACUGUAAACCAGCUAGACCUAAAAGACAUCGAUGGAACAGCCCACCCGACAGCAGCAGAAUACAUAUUCUUCCCAAAUGCAUGUGGAGCGUCCUCAAGGAUGGGUCACGUUAGGGCAUAAAACAGGCCUAAAUAAAUUUGAAAGAAUUGAAAUUGUAUAAAGUAUGUUCUCUGAUCACAACAGAGUGAAUUUAAAAAUAAAUAACAGAAAGAAAUUUGGGAAAUUGAUAAAUAUGUGAAAAUUAAACGAUACACUCCUAAUUAGCCAAUUGACCAGGGAAAUUAAGAAAUACUUUAAAAUGAAGGAACAUAAUUUGUAGAUAAACAUGCCAAAACUUAAAGGAUGCAGCUAAAGCAGUGCUUAGAGGAAAAGUUAUACAUUCAAAAAAAAAAAAAAA